GAUGAACGCUAGCGGCAGGCCUAACACAUGCAAGUCGAGGGGCAGCACAGAAAUUCAGCAAUGAGUUUUGGUGGCGACCGGCAGACGGGUGCGUAACGCGUGUGCAACCUACCCUUAACAGGGGAAUAACGGAGGGAAACUUCCACUAAUACCCCAUAACAUCCCAAGAGGCACCUCUUGGGGAUGAAAGCUCCGGCGGUUAAGGAUGGGCACGCGUUGUAUUAGAUUGUUGGUGAGGUAACGGCUCACCAAGUCUACGAUACAUAGGGGGACUGAGAGGUUAACCCCCCACACUGGUACUGAGACACGGACCAGACUCCUACGGGAGGCAGCAGUGAGGAAUAUUGGUCAAUGGACGCAAGUCUGAACCAGCCAUGCCGCGUGCAGGAAGACGGCUCUAUGAGUUGUAAACUGCUUUUGCAAGAGGAUAAUUGCGGGUACGUGUACCCGCUUGAAGGUACCUUGCGAAUAAGGAUCGGCUAACUCCGUGCCAGCCGCCGCCGUAA
rnacentral:rRNA from 1 species